rnacentral:rRNA from 1 species
GAUGAACGCUGGCGGCGUGCCUAAUACAUGCAAGUCGAGCGAACAGAUAAGGAGCUUACUCCUUUGACGUUAGCGGCGGACGGGUGAGUAACACGUGGGUAACCUACCUAUAAGACUGGGAUAACUUCGGGAAACCGGAGCUAAUACCGGAUAAUAUUUCGAACCGCAUGGUUCGAUAGUGAAAGAUGGUUUUGCUAUCACUUAUAGAUGGACCCGCGCCGUAUUAGCUAGUUGGUAAGGUAACGGCUUACCAAGGCGACGAUACGUAGCCGACCUGAGAGGGUGAUCGGCCACACUGGAACUGAGACACGGUCCAGACUCCUACGGGAGGCAGCAGUAGGGAAUCUUCCGCAAUGGGCGAAAGCCUGACGGAGCAACGCCGCGUGAGUGAUGAAGGUCUUCGGAUCGUAAAACUCUGUUAUUAGGGAAGAACAUACGUGUAAGUAACUGUGCACGUCUUGACGGUACCUAAUCAGAAAGCCACGGCUAACUACGUG